rnacentral:antisense_RNA from 1 species
UGCCCCGGCGUUUAGCGAUCACAACACCAACUAAUG